rnacentral:rRNA from 1 species
UACGUAGGGGGCUAGCGUUGUCCGGAAUCAUUGGGCGUAAAGCGCGCGUAGGCGGCCCGGUAAGUCCGCUGUAAAAGUCAAAGGCUCAACCUUUGAAUGUCAGUGGAUACUGCCGGGCUAGAGUCCGGAAGAGGCGAGUGGAACUCCUGGUGUAGCGGUGGAAUGCGCAGAUAUCAGGAGGAACACCGGUGGCGAAGGCGGGUCUCUGGGCCGAUACUGACGCUGAGGAGCGAGAGCGUGGGGAGCGAACAGG